UGAGGAAUUUUGCGCAAUGGGAGCAAUCCUGACGCAGCAACGCCGCGUGGGUGAUGAAGGCCUUCGGGUCGUAAAGCCCUGUCAGGUGGGAAGAAUGUCCCGGGACUGAACAGGUUCCGGGAGUGACGGUACCACCAGAGGAAGCACCGGCUAACUCCGUGCCAGCAGCCGCGGUAAUACGGAGGGUGCAAGCGUUAUUCGGAAUUACUGGGCGUAAAGCGCGUGUAGGCGGUCCUGCAAGUCUGAUGUGAAAGCCCCUGGCUUAACCCGGGAAGUGCAUUGGAAACUGUGGGACUUGAGUACUGGAGAGGAUGUGGGAAUUCCCGGUGUAGAGGUGAAAUUCGUAGAGAUCGGGAGGAAUAUCAGUGGCGAAGGCGGCCUCCUUGACCAUUCCUGGCACUCAGACGCGAAAGCUAGGGUAGCAAACG
rnacentral:rRNA from 1 species